UGAAGGCAAUCCACACGUCCGUUGACAGGCUGGUCAGAAGACUUUCCUGACACCAGGAUCACCCACACAGAUUGCGGUUUGCAAAACCGUCAGCUCUAUAAACCCUUCCCACCUUUGGAUCCGAUUGCCUGGUGUUGAUCCCGAGAACGCUGUGUGGUACACCCCAGCAGGCGGAUCCCCCAAUCUCUCCCCCUGCGGGUGCAACCCAGGACAAUCCUCAAGGACCAGCUCCGUUAUACAGAUGUGUAGACGGAGAAGUCAACCGGUGUAUUCCGCCUCCGGCAAGUUGACAAACCGGUGGAGCAUUUCCUGACAUUUGCAGUACAGAAAAUCCACGCAAGGUGUGAAAGGGCAGAAGGCUGGCAGUAAAGAACAAGGGAGCACUGGGGCAAAUGGAAGAUCUGGAAGCUACUGAAAAAGACCUCUAAUGGCGUAGCCUCCCUGGAAGAGUACAGAAGACUAACACUGCUAAGAAGGCUACUGCUUUAAAACGCCGGCUGUUCUGGUUCCCCACAAACCCAAACUAGGAAGAUCAGGUAUUGGGCAGGAGGUUUUUUGGUUUUGGUUUUAGUUUGUUUUUUGUUUUUGUUUUUGUUUUUUGCUGUUUUAUGAUUUUCUUUUCUUCUGCCCAGGUUGAUGUGUUGACAAGCAUGGAUUAAUGGACACUUGUGAAAAAAAAAAAAGAA